ensembl:snRNA U6 U6 spliceosomal RNA
GUCCUCAUCUCGGCAACACACUGACUAAAAUUGGAAUGAUACAGAGAAGAUUAGCAUGGCCCCUGAGCAAGGAUGACACACACAUUUAUCAAACAAACCAAGGUACG